CAGUGACACGGGCUUGGCAUGGAAGUGGUCUGCUUUGAGGAAAUUCUAGUUGAGACCUGCCAGCUCAAAGGGUGUUUUUGCCACAUGCAGUCCUGUCCUCAUGCAACCUUCCUGUCUGCCAGCUUGGGUGGGCUACCAAGGAAACACCGAAAAGAAACACUUGAAAAGAAAGCAAACGGACUGUGAACUUGUUAGCGGCUGCAGGUGGUUUUGAUCGGCUGAGUGGAGUCUGUGCCGGAAACAUUACGGCUCCUGAGCCUCCCACGGGACUUGAGCAGACAGGGCUCUACAGCCACGCUGAUGACUCAUGGGCAGAAACUCACCUCCGAGCGAGUAGCUGUACUGGGGAAAAAGUGACCAAGCCAAAAUGACUCACAGUGGAACGAGAGCUCCAGAGCAGGAUUGCCCUGGCAGUCUGCUGACACACUUAACUUCAGCAGCUGCCACCAGAGCCGGCGAGGAGAAUGAUUGCAUAACUGGUGGGAAAGCAAACCUAGAUGUAGCUGUAAAACCUGUGGCAGCCUGGUUGAAAACAUAGCAGCCUUUAGGGCUUGCUGUCCAGUAAUUUUGUUGCAGAAAGCUGGAUGAUUUGUGCUAAGUCUCGGGUACAGAGAACAUUUGGAACGUACGGUAAAGUUUGCAGCUCA